rnacentral:rRNA from 1 species
CACUUUAAAGAGACUGCCGGUGUUAAACCGGAGGAAGUGGGGAUGACGUCAAGUCCUCAUUGGCCUUUAUGGCCCAGGGCUACACACGUGCUACAAUGGGUGGUACAAAGAGAGGCAAGCUCGCGAGAGUAAGCAAAUCUCAAAAAGCCAUCCUCAGUUCGGAUUGGAGUCUGCAACUCGACCCCAUGAAGUCGGAAUCGCUAGUAAUCGCGGAUCAGCAUGCCCGCGGUCCGAAUACGUUCCGGCCUU